ACCCAUGACUACGACGUGAAGAUGCGCAACGUGGUCAAAUUCCUUGAGAAAGGCGACAAGGUCAAAGUCACCCUGCGCUUCCGUGGUCGCGAAAUGGCCCACCAGAACCUCGGGCGCGAACUGCUCGAACGUGUGGCCGAAGACAUCAAGGAAAUCGGCAAGGUUGAAAACAUGCCCAAGAUGGAAGGCCGCCAGAUGAUCAUGAUGAUCGGCCCCCUGUCCAAGUAAGUCCGACACAGAAUGUCGGAUACGGGAACCCCUCGCUUCGUGAACAAGCGGGGGGUUUCUUUUUUGA
rnacentral:misc_RNA from 1 species